rnacentral:rRNA from 1 species
UACGUAGGGUGCGAGCGUUACUCGGAAUUACUGGGCGUAAAGCGUGCGUAGACGGUUAUGUAAGUCGGGUGUGAAAGCCCCGGGCUCAACCUGGGAAUUGCAUUCGAGACUGCAUAGCUAGGGUGCGGAAGAGGGAAGCGGAAUUUCCGGUGUAGCGGUGAAAUGCGUAGAUAUCGGAAGGAACACCAGUGGCGAAAGCGGCUUCCUGGUCCAGCACCGACGUUCAGGCACGAAAGCGUGGGGAGCAAACAGG